AGCAAUUAAUACUAAUUAACUUGAGUAUAAAAGAAGAAAUUAGAAUUUCGGGAGUAGCAGUGAAAUGCUUAGAUAUCUGAAAGAAUACUAGUGGCGAAGGCGUUUUUCUAUUUUAAUACUGACACUGAUACACGAAAGCAUGGGGAGCAAACAGGAUUAGAUACCCUGGUAGUCCAUGCAGUAAACGAUGUCAACUAUUUAUUAAAUAACAUAUUUAUAAUAAUUUAUUUUUUAAAAAAUUUUAAUAUGUAUUUUUAGUAAAAAAGCUAACGCGUUAAGUUGACCGCCUGGGGAUUACGACCGCAAGGUUAAAACUCAAAUGAAUUGACGGGGGCUCGCACAAGCGGUGGAGCAUGUGGUUUAAUUCGAUACAACACGAAAAAUCUUACCUACUCUUGACAUCCAAAGAAUUUAUUAGAGAUAAUAAAGCUUUUUAAGCUUUGAGACAGGUGCUGCAUGGCUGUCGUCAGCUCGUGUUGUGAAAUGUUGGGUUAAGUCCUAUAACGAGCGCAACCCUUAUCUUAUUUUACUAAAAUAAUCUUAGAACUAAUAAGAAACUGCCUAUGAUAAAUUGGAGGAAGGUGAGGACGACGUCAAGUCAUCAUGGCCCUUAUGGGUAGGGCUACACACGUGCUACAAUGAGUAAAACAAAAAGUUGUGCUAUACGGUAACGUAAUGCUAAUCUUUAAAAUUACUCUUAGUUCGGAUUGGAAUCUGUAACUCGAUUCCAUGAAGUUGGAAUCGCUAGUAAUCGUAAAUCAGAAUGUUACGGUGAAUACGUUCUCGAGCCUUGUACACACCGCCCGUCACACCAUGGAAGUAAAUUGUAUCAGAAAUAAUUUAAUUAUUAUAACGGUAUGAUUUGUAACUGGGGUGAAGUCGUAACAAGGUAGCCGUAGGGGAACCUGUGGCUGGAUAUAAAUAUAU
rnacentral:rRNA from 1 species